GAUCCUGGCUCAGAAUCAACGCUGGCGGCGUGCCUCAGACAUGCAAGUCGAACGAUUAAACUUUCCUUCGGGGAAGAUAUAAAGUGGCGCGCGGGUGAGUAACACGUAGGUAAUCUACCUUUGAGUGGGGAAUAACGUUCGGAAACGAACGCUAAUACCGCAUAAUGCAGCGGCAUCGCAAGAUGACAGUUGUUAAAGGAGCAAUUCGCUUAAAGAGGAGCCUGCGGCAGAUUAGCUAGUUGGUAAGGUAAUGGCUUACCAAGGCUACGAUCUGUAACCGACCUGAGAGGGUGGUCGGUCACACUGACACUGAAUAACGGGUCAGACUCCUACGGGAGGCAGCAGUCGGGAAUUUUGGGCAAUGGGCGAAAGCCUGACCCAGCAACGCCGCGUGAAGGAUGAAGUCUUUCGGGAUGUAAACUUCGUAAGAAUAGGAAGAAUAAAUGACGGUACUAUUUGUAAGGUCCGGCUAACUACGUGCCAGCAGCCGCGGUAAUACGUAGGGACCAAGCGUUGUUCGGAUUUACUGGGCGUAAAGGGCGCGUAGGCGGCAAUUCAAGUCAGUUGUGAAAUCUCCGAGCUUAACUCGGAACGGUCAACUGAUACUGUUUUGCUAGAGUACAGAAGGGGCAAUCGGAAUUCUUGGUGUAGCGGUGAAAUGCGUAGAUAUCAAGAGGAACACCUGAGGUG
rnacentral:rRNA from 1 species